rnacentral:sRNA from 1 species
AACGGGUUAAGCCACAAACAGGAGGCACCAUGUUCAUCGAUACAGUCGUUCUCGCAGGUAUUGGCACUGUCGGUUUGAUGGUCGCUUUCGUCGGUGCGGUUGGUUAUUUCAUCUGGCAGGACGCUCGCAAACGCGACAGCAAUAAAAGCUGAAUCCUGCCGAUUCAGGGGCACGCAAGGCAACUUGGGGCGACUUUGUCGCCCUUUUUUUUC